GCUCAGGACGAACGCUGGCGGCGUGCUUAACACAUGCAAGUCGAACGAUGAUCAGGAGCUUGCUCCUGUGAUUAGUGGCGAACGGGUGAGUAACACGUGAGUAACCUGCCCCUGACUCUGGGAUAAGCGUUGGAAACGACGUCUAAUACUGGAUAUGACCGCCGAUCGCAUGGUCUGGUGGUGGAAAGAUUUUUUGGUUGGGGAUGGACUCGCGGCCUAUCAGCUUGUUGGUGAGGUAAUGGCUCACCAAGGCGACGACGGGUAGCCGGCCUGAGAGGGUGACCGGCCACACUGGGACUGAGACACGGCCCAGACUCCUACGGGAGGCAGCAGUGGGGAAUAUUGCACAAUGGGCGAAAGCCUGAUGCAGCAACGCCGCGUGAGGGAUGACGGCCUUCGGGUUGUAAACCUCUU
rnacentral:rRNA from 1 species